CGAUACCCGUACCCGAGUCCGUAUAACAUAGACCUCAAGUUCUUAUCUGUUCGCUUUAGUUAUAGAUGAGUUGACGCGCAAUAUUCAGGAUAAUGUGCCAUAGUGUAUGCUUUUUGCAGAUGAUAUCGUGUUAAUGGAUAAUACUAGAGAAGGAGUUAAGUUAACACUAAGUUGGAGAUUUGGAGAAAAGCACUUGAAUUUAAAAGAUUUAGGAUAAGCAAAACUAAGACAAAGUAUAUAGAAUGUAAUUUUAGUAACAGUUACAAUGGAAGUAGAGAAGAAGUGAAAAUUGAGAACGAAGAACUACCUAAGAGUGAACAUUUUCAUUAUUUAGGAUCGAUUAUCACAACGAUUAGGGAAAUUGGAGUGGAUGUGGUCCGCAGAAUUAAGGCAGGGUGGCUUAAGUAGACGAGUGCAUCUAGAAUAUUGCGAUAAACUAGUAUCCAUUAGACUAAAAGGGAAGUUCUAUAGAACGACUAUUAAACUAGCGAUGUUGUAUGGGACGAAAUGUUGGGCAACUAAAAAACAUGUAGAUAAGAUGAGUGUUGCUGAGAUGGGUGUGUGGCAAGCUAUGAAGUACGGACACGGACAUGGACAUGGACAUGGACACGGACACGUGAACAUGCAAAUUUUCAAAAAAUAGGGGACACGACAUGCUAGGGGCACGUUUAAUAUAUAUAAUUAAUUUGGGCAACUAAAAAACAUGUAGAUAAGAUGAGUGUUGCUGAGAUGGGUGUGUGGCAAGCUAUGAAGUACGGACACGGACAUGGACAUGGACACGGACACGUGAACAU